rnacentral:rRNA from 1 species
GAUGAACGCUGGCGGCGUGCCUAAUACAUGCAAGUCGAGCGAACGGACGAGAAGCUUGCUUCUCUGAUGUUAGCGGCGGACGGGUGAGUAACACGUGGAUAACCUACCUAUAAGACUGGGAUAACUUCGGGAAACCGGAGCUAAUACCGGAUAAUAUUUUGAACCGCAUGGUUCAAAAGUGAAAGACGGUCUUGCUGUCACUUAUAGAUGGAUCCGCGCUGCAUUAGCUAGUUGGUAAGGUAACGGCUUACCAAGGCAACGAUGCAUAGCCGACCUGAGAGGGUGAUCGGCCACACUGGAACUGAGACACGGUCCAGACUCCCACGGGAGGCAGCAGUAGGGAAUCUUCCGCAAUGGGCGAAAGCCUGACGGAGCAACGCCGCGUGAGUGAUGAAGGUCUUCGGAUCGUAAAACUCUGUUAUUAGGGAAGAACAUAUGUGUAAGUAACUGUGCGCAUCUUGACGGUACCUAAUCAGAAAGCCACGGCUAACUACGUG